CAGCCGCGGUAAUACGUAGGGCGCGAGCGUUNUCCGGAAUUAUUGGGCGUAAAGAGCUUGUAGGCGGUUGGUCGCNUCUGCUGUGAAAGGCCGGGGCUUAACUCCGGUUUUGCAGUGGNUACGGGCUAACUAGAGUGCAGUAGGGGAGACUGGAAUUCCUGGUGUAGCGGUGGAAUGCACAGAUAUCAGGAGGAACACCGAUGGCGAAGGCAGGUCUCUGGGCUGUAACUGACGCUGAGAAGCGAAAGCAUGGGGAGCGAACAGGAUUAGAUACCCUGGUAGUCCAUGCCGUAAACGUUGGGCACUAGGUGUGGGGGACAUUCCACGUUUUCCGCGCCGUAGCUAACGCAUUAAGUGCCCCGCCUGGGGAGUACGGCCGCAAGGCUAAAACUCAAAGGAAUUGACGGGGGCCCGCACAAGCGGCGGAGCAUGCGGAUUAAUUCGAUGCAACGCGAAGAACCUUACCAAGGCUUGACAUGCAUUAGAUCGCGUCAGAGAUGGCGUUUCCCUUCGGGGCUGGUGUACAGGUGGUGCAUGGUUGUCGUCAGUUCGUGUCGUGAGAUGUUGGGUUAAGUCCCGCAACGAGCGCAACCCUCGUUCUAUGUUGCCAGCGGUUCGGCCGGGGACUCAUAGGAGACUGCCGGGGUCAACUCGGAGGAAGGUGGGGAUGACGUCAAAUCAUCAUGCCCCUUAUGUCUUGGGCUUCACGCAUGCUACAAUGGCCGGUACAGAGGGUUGCGAUACUGUGAGGUGGAGCUAAUCCCUUAAAGCCGGUCUCAGUUCGGAUUGGGGUCUGCAACUCGACCCCAUGAAGUCGGAGUCGCUAGUAAUCGCAGAUCAGCAACGCUGCGGUGAAUACGUUCCCGGGCCUUGUACACACCGCCCGUCAAGUCACGAAAGUUGGUAACACCCGAAGCCGGUGGCCAACCGCAAG
rnacentral:rRNA from 1 species